rnacentral:lncRNA from 1 species
UAUAAGAUCACGUACGAUCUAUAGGUAACAACCCGAUUAAGAAUCCUCCAAUCUGUGUUGAACUCAGUGGAAUCAGAAAGAUUGAGAAGACAGAGAAGGAGAGAGCGGGAGCGAGAGAAAGACGGAGAGAAGAGAGGGAAUCCACAGCAGUUCUCAUUCAUUUUUUGAAACGGUGCGCGUAAGCAACGGCUAACAGCAGCUUAGUACGGUGCGUUUUUUCAAGAAAUCAGUGGCAAUUAAAAGUUAUCCCUCCACCAUUGUUAAUUCCUGAGAUAUGCAUGCAUCCCUUCAUGGCUGUGUGAUUUCAUCUUUGUUGCAAGACAUUACCGUUGCAGAUUGCAUGGUUGUAGCAUCUUCUUCUGCAAAUUAUUGGGACUUUUCACACCUCGGCAAAUUAUUUCAAGAUAAUAUAUAUGAUACAACAUUUACUAAUUAGAUUUUACUGAACUAACUCGGUUCUCCAUGAGUUUGUAGAAUCAGAACAGUAUGAUCUUUUUAUAGACAUGCUAUAAGUUUGGCUUAGAUUCUGCCAGAAAUGGUUUCUUAUAGCCUUGUAUUUUGUGUUGAUCGCGGAAAACCCAGGAUCAGAAAGAAGGUCCUGAACAGGAGUACGGCUGUCGAGCAUGCUCACAACUUGAGACAUUGUAGGCCUCAGAGUUGGGGAUGCGUUGGUACGUAAGAGAGCGACAUUUAGCAUCAGUACCAUUGCCUCCUCUGAAGAAUACUCUGACCCCAAUUUUGGAUCAACCAACUCCGAAAGACUUCCUCUCUCGCAAACAUAGGCCUGACAGAAUCCCAGAUAAACCCAAAUAAGGAUGCUAUAAUAUAUUCAAAAUGGUAAAAUGAGAACUGUUUUCAUUUGUUUUCAUUCUCGAAGAGCCAUCAUAUGAUUACGAUAAUAUAAAUGAUCAAGGGUUGUAAAUGCAAGGGCUUUUUGUCUGGUGAAAUGAUCAUACACAUCAACAACGGAGCCUCUUUCCCGAACUACAUGGAUCCUUUUCCAUCAUUCUACAAGGUGAAAUGGCCAUUAAAAAAAAAAAAAGCAAGCAAGCAAAAAUGUUUUAAAAAGUAGAUGGUCGGUAGUUGGGACCACCAAAAUAUAAUUUUGAUUUAAGUAUCACAAACAAAAUAAAUUUGUAGUAUGAUCAUGAAAACCAGGUUGAACCCAAGGAAAUUUUCUUUUAAUCUUCCUAUAAUAUAUUGAAAUAAGAAAGAACAGGGGAUUUGAAUGAAAGUUUAAGAAACAAUAAUUUUGAAAAUAAUAAAUUGAUAUGUUGUUAAAUUAGUUCAAGGAUCCACACAUCUAUUCCUAUAAAUUUGUUGAUCAUCGAAGUAAAAUAAAUAUUCUUUCAUGUCAAGCAAAUAAAUUUGAUAUCCUUUAAAGUUAAGGGAAACCGAUGAGGUUACUAGUACAUUAAUUAGGAAAAGCUCUCUAAUCAAUUUCUUACCAUCAAACGAAUAUAAUAUUGAAAGCAAUUUUCAUUAAUUCAACAGUAGUCUUAGGAAUAAAAUUUGUGCAUUUAUUCUAAGCAAACGUUCAAAAGCUUGAUAAUUUAACUUAGUUUAUUCUUCCCUAAUAAAUCAAGAUGAGAGUUACAACAAUCAAAUUAAUUCUUUUGCUUCUUACUCUCAUCCCUAACAACAAUUACAGAUUGAAAGAAACUAGAAAGCAUACAUGUCAUCUCAAAACAAUUCAAUAAGCUUGAAUAACAAUCAAUAAUAUAAUUCUGAACAAGGAAAAAUAAAUACUUGAAUCUGAAAGAAUUAUAAUGAUAACUUUACUUCUCAUAACUUGCUAAUGAAGAUGGUGUCUAUCCCUCUUGAACCGAAUUUAGGAAUUUAGUUCAUAGCUGUUGGAAAUUUGACAAAAGUAGAGAAGAAAGAAUGUUUUUUGAACCCUGUUUCAGCUGUGUUCUGCUCUAUUUAUCCUCCUUUUUGGCUGCCAAAUUUCUCCAGGAUUAUUCUCUAAUUAUAAGUAUUCAUGAUACUUAAUUCGUUCAUUCUUUAUUUGGUUCUUAAAGUUGGAUAAGUCUCUCAAAAUUUGUGUAGAAAACUGACUUUGCUGUUGUCACAACUUUGUUACAAUUCCAAUUCUGCUGCAACUUAGACUUUUUUUUUCUGACUUGGUUUCUUGCAAUAUCCAACCAUCCCAGAUGUAUUCUUUCAUUCAUGGCAUGUUGGAGGCUUGAUUUGAACCUCUCUUGGGUCCUAGGCCCAUGUUUUUAUGUUAAACUUUCAGUCGUAGUAGGAUGCUCAACACCAUUAGUUUCCUAAUCAGAUCAGGAAACCCAUCUUGUCUUUUAGAUUGCAUAUGGAGUUUGGCCUUCAAAAAGAUUUAAUCUGACUUAGAGUCCUUCAUGAAAGUUGUAUUUAUGUAUGUGUAGAUAAAUCUGGGCUUUUGAAUAGCCUUAUUUUGAUAUAUGAUGCUCAAGCUAUUCUCAUUUCAAUAUCUAGUGUGAAAGCAGAGAAUCUUGCUACGAGUAAGAUUCUGACCCGAGUUUGCAGGUCUAAUUAGGGAUCCAAAUGAGAUUGAAUUUUUUUCCGUAAUACCUUUUUGGAAAGCUUGACAUGUGUACUUUAACUUAGAUUAAGCCUAACUUGGUGAAACACCUGUUAUAAGUAGCUAGGUCCGAAACAUAAAAUGCAGGAUUUCUUAUCUUUAGCAAUUAAUUCACGAAGUUUAUUAGGCAUACCAAACUCAUAAAAAUAACUUCCAACACUACUAGAAAAUUAUUAAAUAUAAAUGGAAAUACCGAGGGAAUAUUUUCAUCGGUAAAUUUCUAACGGAUUUAUAGACGGAAAUAUUCCCUCGGUAUAUACCGAGGGAAUUACAGUGGGAAAAAAAUAAUUAAAAAAAGAAAAAAAAAAGAUGUGCCAAUUUUACCAACGGAAUUACCUACGGAUUGAAAAGUCGGUAAAAUCAUUGGCAAAUUGUGAACACUGUUUAUAAUAUCAAUUACAAAGGGAAUCACCGACGAAAAAAUCCGUCGAUAUUUUACAGAGGGCUCUGGAAUUGUUCACUUUCUAAUUGCACUGUUAAUACCUGUUCUUUACAGACAAAAUCACUGACGGAUUGACAAGUCGUCGGUUUUCUAAAAAAAUAAGACUAAUUUAAAAUUUUAAAUUAAAUAUUACAAACAUAAUCACCGAUGGAUUGAAAAGUCGUCGGUGAUAUUUGGCUGCAUCUGAAAUUUUUUGAUUAAAUUAAAAAUUAUAGACGGAAUCACCGACGGAAUGAUUAAAAAUAUUAAUAUUUAAUUAUCCGCCUGUAAAACCGUCGGUAAAAUGCCCUAAUAAAAAGCCUAGAAUCCUUAAUUUCACAACAUACCCGUUUCCUUUCUCUUCUUCUUCUUCUUCUUCUUCCCCAUAUGUUAAAAACAUCAGUAUCCAUUUCUUUUUCUUCUCUUCUCUCCUCAACUCCUUCUCCUCUCCUCCAUGCUCAGGUAUGUCUUCUUCUCCUUUCUUCUUUUUUUCUUCUCAGUUUUUUUUAAUUAGUAUAUUUUACGAUUAUUUUUCUCUUCUUAGCUUCACUUGCAACUACAUUAAGGUAAGAUUUUUGUUUUUUUCUUUCUUUUUUUUUUUUCGUGUUUUUUUCAUUAUAUUUUAAUUGUUUUUAUUCUUAAUAAUUGUAUGAAUGUAGUUGCAGGAUUUAUAGGAUUUUUAAAUUUUUUUCAUAUGAAUUUUUUUAGUUGAAUUUAUUUUUUCGUGUUAUUUAUUUGUUGCAAAUUUGUUUGAGUUGAUUUUCUUCUUCUUUUUCCAAGCAUUUUGAGUAUUAUAGAGUGUUGAUUUAUAUUAAUUUAAUUAUUUAUAGUUUUGUAAAAUAGAUUUUUUUAAAAAAUAUUUUUAAAUAAUUACCGACGAAAUUACAUACGGUAUUUUGCUAAGGGAAAUAUGUUUUUUCCAUUGGUACUAAUUUUUUUUAAUUAACAACGGACUUACCGACAGACAAAAAAUUACCGAUGAAAGAUUCACCGAGUUGGUGAUUUCAUUGGUAAAUUAAUUACCAACGGAAUGACAGUGCAAAUACCGACGGAAAAAUCCGUCGGUAAAUAUAAAGAUUAUGGUAGUGUAAUAAACUCAAAUAAGCUUAAAAUACAUUAAAAAGCAUAGCUUAAAAGGAGGAAAAUAUAUGUAUAGUUUGGGCAAUGUCGUCUCCUACCAAUCAAUCUCUCCUACCAAUCAAUCUCUACAAAGGGCGGAAGCACCUAAACUUAAAUUCGACAUUAGCAGAACUCUACAAAGGGGCGAAGAACUUCCUUAGCUUUAGGAUGGUCCCAUUCCAAGACUGACUCCUACCAUUCUUCAGGUACUGCAUAUAUUUCUCUAAGAGAAGGGGGAGGAAAUAGCCCACCAUUUUCAAGAAACGGAAGAUAAAUUGGUAUCCUCUUCAGCUUCUCACAAUUCAUUACGUGAAUUUCUUCAAGAGAAUCACAUCUCAGUUUUGCCCUGCAAAUGCUUUUUAGUUCUGGUAAACAAUACAAUUUCAGAAUUUUUAAGUUUUUGAAUUCGUUGUUGCUGCUGCUUUCUUCACCUAUAACCCCUUCUUCAUUCGAUCUUGUCCCAACUAUUAUCUCCUCCAUUUUCUCACAAUUACAAACUUCAAUUUCUUCUAAUUUUACGAGGCUUGGCAGCAAGACAAGAGGGAACAACUUCUUCAUACUCUUACAACCAUAACAAUGAAACUUCUUAAGACUAGAAAAUAUACCAUUGUAAGAUGGAGUAGAGUAAAACCAAGAAGAUGAAACCAAGCUCUCCAUGAUAUUGCAACACCUAAUAUCGAUAUCCUCCAGUUCAGUUGCAUACUUUAUUAGAGAGGAAACAUCGCAUAAACUUGUUGCAUUAUCACAAUCACAAAUGACCAGUCGUUGAAUGUCCUUUGGGAACAUGAUCUGAAAAUCUCCAUCUCUAUUUACACUCAAGUUACUGAAAACAAUUGUUUUACUUCUACCAUGAUAAUCUCGAUAAUCCAUUGAAUGCCCUACCCAGAUGUGGUAUGUGCUUAGUGAUUGGGUCUCAUCUCGAGAUUUGAGAUACUCCACGUAGUCAGAGUAACCUUCAAAACGGCAUUCCAAAGUUUCCAACUUUCUCAAGCAUCCUACUUCCUUUCCUUUAACUGUUAUCGGAGCAUAUCGUAACAUUCUAACAUAAGGAAACGUCUCUAAUUUCAAGAUUUGCAGGUCAGAUAGCUUAGGUAACAACCCACUGGGAAACUCUUUCUCACAACAUCCAUUCAUUCCAAGAUAUUUUAGGUUGCAUAGACAUUCCAUGCCUUGAGGCAUCUUUUCAAGUUCAGUGCGAGUGAGAUCUAACCUCUUCAAUGCCUUGAGCUUUUUCAAUGAUGGUACAUGCCUCAACUCCCUACAUUCUUUGAGCAAUAAUACAGUGAGACUCACCAAUUCAGAGACAGAGUCAGGCAGUUUUGUGAUAUAUGUACGAGACAGAUCAAGAACCUUGAGCCCAUGCAACUGCUCAAAAAAUGAAUCUGCAAUAUGCACCAGUGGAUUUCUGCGCAACAAUAGAGUUGAAAGACUGGGACACCUUGGUGAAUGACCGGAAGGAAUUUUUUCAAUUUGGUUAUACAUCAGUGAAACUCUCGUAAGAUUCUCUGUCCACUCCUCUGCACCCGGCAAUUCUCUUAAUUGUGCACCUGCUUUAACCAUGUCUAGAGAGUUAUCUUCCAGUAUUUGAAUGGCCAUAUCCCUAAUCAAGUCAUGCAUCUUGACAUACCCUUUCUUAGCACUUUCCAAUAGGCAGACUCUUUCAAGUUUAUUAAGCAUCGAGUGGCCUUUGUUAAACUCUGCCUCCCUACUAUUCAACCCUUUUAUCACUCCCUCGUCAAUCAAAUAAGCUAUCAAAUCCUCUCUACGGAUCAUGAAGUCUUCAGGGAAUACUGCACAGUACAAGAAACAUUGUUGCAGUGCUGACUCCUUUAAGUGCAUAUAACUAAAUCUUAAUAUUUGGAAUACCUCCUCAUCCAUGUCCUCCCAAACCCUUGAUUGUUUCAGUUCCUCUAAAGCAUUCCUCCACUCACAUAUGUCAUCCACUCCCCUCAUAGUUCCGGCCAUCGUUUUAAUUCCUAGAGGCAAACCAGCACAUUCACUUGCCAUAGAUUUUGCAAUUUCUUCCACUUCUGGAGGAAUACAUCCAAGUAUCUUUAUGAACAGAGCCCAAGCUUCUUCCAUUGAAAGAGGCUCCACUUUGAUUAUCUUCUUGCAGACCAUCUGCUGGCAAACUUCAAAUGAUCGAGUUGUAAGAAUUAGUUUGCAUCCCUUCACUUGGAUAGGAAUUCCCACCUUAUCAAAAUCAAAACGGUUCCACAAAUCAUCUAAAAUGAGAACCCACCGUUGUUUCUCAAUUAAUGCUUUUGACAUUUUGGCAGCCCUUUUCCUCUCGUUGUCUUCAUUUGAAAGAUCUAAAUGAAUGUCCUUUGCAAUAAGAUUCCGCAAUUUAUAAACACUAAAAUCCUGCGAUACUGUGAUCCAGUGAACAUGAGGAAAAGUGUCAGGUUCUUGUAGAAGCUGAUUGUAGAUAUGUGUGAGCAAUGUUGUUUUGCCCACACCCCCCAUCCCGUAAAUGCCAAUACUUGAUGAGGCUUCAUCAUUCAUUAUCCACGACCAGAUAGCAUUCUUAUUAUUUUCAAACUCUCCACCUGAAAGUUCUUCAGUUAGAAACACAUCUCGUCCGCUCUCAUCGCCAUUACGUUGAAGAACUUCACGAGUGCUAUCUCUCACAGCAGGCUGCCCAGGGUCUCCAACCAUGUUCACUAGUGGAGUACGGAGUUGAUCAUGAUAUUUUCCAUGGGUAAGACACAGUGGAUCAGUUGGUUGGGAAGAAUCUUCUUGAGGCUCAUCGUGAUUAACAAGUGGCCUCUCAUGAGAACUACCUCUUACAACAGGCUGCCAAGAUACUCUCUCCAGAUGUUGCCCUUGUGGUGCCACAUUGUCGACUUCAACAUGUAAGCUAGCAGGUAAUGUAUCUCCUGGAGUCUCAUUUGUGUUGCCUGUAAGCCCUCCAGAAGAGCUAGCUCCUGCACCCGGCUGCACUAGUCCUCCAGUCCCAUUCUCUAUAGCAUCCUCCAUUAACCAUCUACCGAACUCUUCCAAACUUCUUCCGAGUGCUUGACCCAUUCUAUCUGCUGCUUGUGUCGUUCCUGCAUCUCCUGCCACAUUGUCGACUUCAACAUGUAAGCUAUCUAUCCUUUCUUCGAGCUCCUUGACGGAAAGAGCUUCUUCUUGUUGUGCCCCAUCAUUGCUUGACGUUUCUGUGAAUCUAUGGUUCUUUUCUGGAGGGCCAUCAACAGCAGCGAACGCUGCUUCUCGAACCAGUUCUGGCACUUUGUCACAAAUUGUAGUUCCACGCCUUGGAACUCCUGACCAAUGAAACUUGAACCUGGUAAUCGGAGUUAGCUUGGAGAAUAAAUGAGCACAAAACUUACACCGCCUACUAUCAUCAGGCAUCUCCUCAACAUGCUCCCAAAAUGAACCCUUUGGCAGAACCAUUUUCUCCUUUUCUUCUGUGGCCUGCAGAGGGGAAAAUAACAAAUUCAUUUAUUUGGAGACAAUACUGAAAUAAGGAUUACAUUCCAUGGAAGACAAGGAGAUAAAUCUCCAAAACAGAACUAAGCAAAGGAAAAGACCGCAUAUACACACACACACACACACCUUCUGGUCUGAUAAUUAAUAUGAUAUUGUGUCUUCAAAAGAAUGCCCUUGCCGCUGUGUGACAGAGAUGAUAAUUGAAGUUGGUAGCAAAACAAGCUGUGAGAACAAAACAACAAUUUCAGCUUUGAAAAGCAGAAACAAUCAUUUAAUUAUUUUCCCUGGAGAAAUAAAACAAGUUGGUAGCAAAAAUCGUUGCCAUAAUAUGUGAAAAACUAAACUGAUCGAAGCUGUAAAACAAAGCAUAUGCAAUUAAAUCGAUCAUUAGGAACAAAUAUAAAUUCUACAGCUUGUUAUUAAUUUAAUAUAAAAAAAUAAACAGGGAGGCCCUUAACUAUAUAUUUUCCUGUAGAGAUGUACUUUAAGCAGAGAAAUAUUUAUAGUAAACAUUGGAUAAUUGAAAUAAUUGUCAGAAAAAGAGACUACCAAGCAAUCUAAAAUAAAAAUUUGGAAUAAAUUAUCAUUGUUUUUAAGAUAAGAAGUUGAACUUGAUAGCGAAAUGAACAUUUAAGAACAAAGCUAUAAUAUUUGUUUGAGUUCUAACUUCUAAGAUUGAUUAAGAAACACAUACAAUUAAGUUCCACUUCGUUUCGGAAGAGCCAAAACAAAUAGGUGUAGAAACAAAAUUAGUGGUAGAAAAACAAGAAAAUAAAUCAGGAUUUACCUUGCAAGCAGAAAAGAUGUUGAACUCCAGAAGAGACGAUUCGAUUCAAUCAGAAAAGGAAGCACAGACCAUGAGACAGGUUUAAGAAAUUUGGUGAGGGUUCAAGCUUUGGUAAUUUAGGUGUUUGGGAGUGUGGUAGCGGUUGCUUUUCAAAUAGCUUUUCGUGCUGAAAAGCAUGUCAAUAAUAUUUUUUCAUUUUUUAAAAAUCAUUUUUGACAUCAGCACAUCAAAACAUCCAAAAAGUACAAAUCACACUCAAUUUUAACAAAAAAAAAAAAUUUGAAUUUUGGUGAAAAGCUGGUUUGGCGCAAUGCCAAACGGGCUCUAAAACAAGUAAUGGGGCCUUUCUGCUUUAUGUCACUUUCUGCUUUAUUUAUCCACAUUAACUAUUCAACGUGUUCACAUUACACUGCUUCAAAUCCUUGAGUUUACUGUUUGAUGCUAAAACAACAGUGUUAUGUACUUUUUUAAAUAAAAAGUCAGAACAAUUAAUGAAGAUCUAAACUUCGAAGAAAAUCACUUGGCCAGAAAUAACAGUACUGCUCGGGUCAGCUGCUAGCAUGGAUACACAAAUGCUACUUGGGGAAAUUACGCAUUUCCUAUAUCAGCAUAAAAAAGGAACAAUCCUAUUUUGUUGUUUUAAUUUUAUCAGAACUGCAAACUUAUUUUUAGUCUGUCAGUAACAGCUGAUCUCAUAAAGGAAAGCACAGGCAAUUAAUUGAUUAACAUGAAGGAGGAAUAGAUAGUUACCCGUUUACUCUAAAGAAAUAAAACAAUAGGGCAAGUCCCUUGUGCUUUCUUUGUCCAAUAUGCAAUUAUUACUCCCACUGUCUCCUGGAAACUACCAUACAAAGGGGCUUUGUUUGUCCAUUAUGCAAUUAUUAUUUUCACUGUCUCCUCGAAACCACUAUACAAAUUUUAUUCAACCAUUGAUUCUACUGUUAGAUCAAACAUAUGCAAUUUUCAUGACAGUGAUGUUGCCGACGAUGAUGAGGCACCACGUAUAUGAUUAUAGAUAAUAGAGAAUAGCCCAAACUAUUAAAAAAUUGGGUUUUAGUUUAUGUUUUUGGGUUUAAUUUAUAUGAGUAUUUAGUUGAGUUUUAUUAAUUUGGCUUUAUUUAUUGGGUUUGAUUUAAUUAUUGUUAAGUAUUUUAUUUAGUAAGUCAUAAGUCCAAUCGCUUAUUCUAGUUAGGAUUUUAGUAUUAAUACCCUACUUUUCUAAAUAUAAAGGGAUUUUUGAUGAUUAAUAAAAAUUUGCAGAUUUUGCAUAUCUUCAAUCCCCUUUCUUUGCUUUUUCUUCUUAACUUUUUCUCUAAAAGCUUCUUUCUUUUUUACUUUAAUUCUUAUAUAUUAUUUUUUAUCCUGCAUCAAAUUUGGUAUCAAGCUAGGAUUUUAAUGUUCUUACAGUUAAAUAACCCACAAUGUUUAUGAUAAACCCUAGAUCCAGUUGAUCUAUAAAAAAAAAAUUGUUCACUGUUAAAAAAAAAAUACUCUUCUGAUUAAAAUUGAUUACUUAACACCUAAAAAAACAAGUAUAAAUAAGUUUUUUUUUAACCCUAAAUCUAAAAUAGUAUUCUCUACAGACAAUCAGCCGCACUCUUUACUCUCUGCAUCUCUAUUUUCUCUGAUUUUCCUCUAUAUUCACAUCCCAAAAUUGUUAGCUCCUGCUGCUCCAUGCUCCUCUGUUCUCCUAUCAAAUUCACACUUUCUUCACUUUUGAUUUUAAUUUUUUAAUUCUUCCAUCAAAGGCACGCACUCGGUUCAGGAAGUAUCUCCCACUGCCUUCCUUCAGAUUCAAAGCGGCACUCAACUAAGGGAUUUCGGGCCAGAAGAAAGUAAUGUUUACUGACGGGACGAGACGAAAGAGAUCCCUCUCUUUACUUUUACUUUUGCUUUUAAUCUUCUUUUUUUCUUUUUAUUUCUCAUGUAACCUUAUAUUGUUAUGUCAAACUAGAAAAAAAAAAUUUGAGGACAACAAUUGAACUAGAAAGUGCAGAAAGAUGCUUUCCUUUAGUCAUUAGCUUGCUUGGAAUGGAAGAAAUGCCAGAUUUCCCAAUAUUCAAAGUUGCAGUGUGUAAUGUUUUGAAAAUAAAAGGGAAUAGAAAAAAAAAAGGAAACAAAGCCUUUGAAGGUUUAAAAGUAUAUAUAAAUGAAUAAGGAGUAUUUUGGUAAUUGAGUAAAACCUUACUAAGUAUAAAUAGAAGGAAAAAAGAAAGAGGGAUUUGAAAUUUGAGAGUGAGAACCGGGCAAUAGAAAAGAAAAGGGAAAGAAAAAGAAGAAGAGGAAAAGGGAAAGAUAAAUAAAAGAGAAGAGAGUUAUAGAAAAUAAGUUUAAAUGUAAUAUUUAUAUUCUGAUGUGUAAAAUAUAUUUUUUUAGCUUUGAUUUACUGUUUUGUUGAAGGUUAAAGUUUUGAAGAUUUUGUUUUGAGUUAAUUGAUGAAUUGAUUUGAAUAUAAUGAGUUAAUUAUUUUGGGUAAUGAGUUGUUUAGUUGAUUUUGAAAAAUUCUAGAUAAAAAUAAUAAUUUUGAGUUAUAAUCUGUUUAAAUGAUGAGUUUUAGAAUCUUUUAAUAUGUGUUGAUAUAGAAAGAUUGAGAAGACAGAGAAGGAGAGAGAGGACAACAAUUGAACUAGAAAUUGCAAAAGAUGCUUUCCUUUAGUCAUUAGCUUGCUUGGAAUGGAAGAAAUGCCAGAUUUUCCAAUAUUCAAAGUACAAGUGUGUAAUGUUUUGUUAAAUUGAAGGACCAAACUAAAAAUAUCAUAAAUUCAUGAUUAUAUUGAAAUUAUGACCAUAAUUAAUUUUUAAUUCUGUCUAGAAUAUCUCAUUAUACCCCUCAUUCAUUUAUACCCUCUAUUUAAGCCUUCAAGUGUUUUGUUGUUUUUUUUUCUAUCUCUUUUAGGUCCCGUUUGUUUGCUGGAAAGUAGUUUUUUUUUAAAAGUAAAUUCCAAGGAAAGUGAAUUCCGGGAAAGUAUUUUCCGAUGUUUGGUAAUGUAAUGGAAAAUAAGUUGGAAAACAUUUUUCAGUGUUUGGUUAUGUUAUGGAAAAUAAGCUGGAAAAUAACUUAUUAAUAUUUUAUUUUUCUCAAGUUUAUUAAAAAAUAAGAAAUAAAUCUUACAAAUUAAAAAGUUGAAUGAGAAUGAAAUUGAAAAAAAAUAUAUAAUUUCAUAGAUUAUCUCAAAUAAAAUAAAUAAUAAUCAAAAUAAUAGAGAUCAAAUCUAAAAAAUAAAAAAAAAAUGAAAGAUGAAGAAAUUAAAAUAAUAAUAAUCAACAUUUCAUAAAUUAUUUCAAAUAAAAUAAGUUACAAUCAAAAGAAUGAGGACCAAAUUUGAUAGAUAAAAUUUUUCAAUAAAAAAAUGAUAAGGAAAAAGCAAAUAACAAUUAUAAAAAUAAGGACCAAAGUUAAUAUAAAAAUAAAAUUUUAAGAGAUGAAAUUGAAAAAUAAAUAUUCAAAACAAAAUAUAUAUAGCAAUCAAAAGUUUGAGGAUCAAAUUUGAUAUAAUCAGCAAAUAAUGACAUUUCUAAAUUUUUCACAACUUCCGAAAAGUGUUUUCAGGAAAACACUUUCCUGAAAACCAAGCCAAAUUUUCUUUUUACUGGAAAUUGUUUUCCAUUAACCAACUUUUCUAAUGGCAAACAAACACAAGAAAGUUUGGAAAGUGAUUUUCCAUAAACCACUUUCCGGAAAACAAACACAGCUAAAGGGAAAACACUUUCCUGAAAACCAAGCCAAUUUUUUUCUUUGAUUGAAAUUGACUGGAAAAUAUUUUUCGUUGAUCGGAAAAUGUUUUUCGUUGACCAACUUUUCUAAUGACAAACAAACACAGGAAAGUUUGAAAAACGAUUUUCCGGAAACUAUUUUCCAAGAAACAAACAUGUUCUUAAUUCAAAACAUCAGAAGUCAUUCAUUCUUUUCCAGUCUCUUUCGAAUAUGUAUCUUUUGAAUUCGUAUAAGUAUGGAAACUUGGAAGAACCUUAGUAAUUUUAUUUUGGUUGCUCAAAUACUCUGGUACGGAUAGAGUAGUCUAGUAGAUUUUUUAUAAACAAAAAAGAAAAGAGAUUAACUUAAAUUCUUUGAUUUAUUUAAGAAAUAAAACCAUUUAAAGGCCAAUAUUAUUCCUGCAGACAUCACAAAGCUGGUAUAAGAUCACGGAUCUAUAGGUAACAACCCGAUUAAGAAUCCUCCAAUAUGUGUUGAAGCAGAAAGAUUGAGAAGACAGAGAAGGAGAGAGAGAAAGACGGAGAGCAGAGAAGAAGAUGGUGCUGACUUGACAACCUUAAUUACAAUUUAUUGAAACGGUGCGCAUAAGUAACGGCUUAACAACAGCCUAGUACGGUGCGUUUUGUCAAGAAAUCAGUGGCAAUUAAAAGUUAUCCCUCCUCCAUUGUUAAUUCCUGGGAUAUGUAUGCAUCCCUUCAUGUGUUGAAAUGUGAAGGCCUUUAAGAUGGAUCAUUAUUUCUUCUCAGAAAAGAAAAAAGGGAUCAUUUUCUGCUAUUAAAGUCAUAGCAAUGGAAAUCGGCAGGAAGCUACAACUUUAUGUCACUUUCUGCUUUUGCUUUCUUUGUUC